rnacentral:misc_RNA from 1 species
AAGAGAGUUAAAACCUUCAUUGGAGAUGAUAAAGUUGAAGCAUUGGAAGAAGUAUAAGUAAGAGGUGGUGACUGCUAUUUGGGGAGCAAUAGUGUAUCUCAUUUGGAAGGCAAGGAACUGGAAGCAUUUCAAAGGAGUACAAAUACAGUAUUUUGAGACAGUGGAGGGAAUAAUUCGAGAUAUUACAGUGAGGAUAGACAUGUAUAAGAAUACUAAAAGAGCAUAUAGAUGUAGGAGUUUUUGGCAGAAAUUAUGUAAAUAGUUUGAGUUGAUGAGAUCACUCCUCUAAGCAGUGAGGUCGGGAUGCUCUUAGUUUGUAGUUUUUUGUUUGUUAAUGGUAAUUUUCAUUUAACUUACUUUAGCAGUUAAAAAUACCCCCUUAACAACUUUGAAGUGAUUUUUUCCACCCUGAGAUCAUAACACCGCUCUCACCAGCCACAUCAUAGCCACGUAAGCGUCG